GUAGGUGGCAAGCGUUGUCCGGGAAUUAUUGGGGCGUAAAGCGCGCGCAGGCGGUUCUUUAAGUCUGAUGUGAAAGCCCACGGGCUCAACCGUGGAGGGUCAUUGGAAACUGGAGAACUUGAGUACAGAAGAGGAAAGCGGAAUUCCACGUGUAGCGGUGAAAUGCGUAGAGAUGUGGAGGAACACCAGUGGCGAAGGCGGCUUUCUGGUCUGUAACUGACGCUGAGGCGCGAAAGCGUGUGGAGCAAACAGGAUUAGAUACCCUGGUAGUCCACGCCGUAAACGAUGAGUGCUAAGUGUUAGGGGGUUUCCGCCCCUUAGUGCUGCAGCUAACGCAUUAAGCACUCCGCCUGGGGAGUACGGCCGCAAAGGCUG
rnacentral:rRNA from 1 species